rnacentral:rRNA from 1 species
AAGUUUGGACAAUGGUCGCAAGCCUGAUCCAGCCAUGCCGCGCGAGUGAAGAAGGCCUUCGGUUUGUAAAGCUCUUUCGGAAGGAAAGAAAUCGCGAAGGCUAAUACCCUGCGCGGCUGACGGUAACGUCAUAAGAAGCACCGGCUAACUACGGGCCAGCACCCGCGGUAAUACGUAGGGUGCGCGCGUUACUCGGAAUUACUGGGCGAAAAGCGUGCGCAGGCGGGUGAUGAAGACAGGCGUUGAAUCCCCGGGCUUAACCUGGGAACUGCGCUUGUGACUGGUCAGCUAGAGUACGGCAGAGGGGGGUGGAAUUCCACGUGUAGCAGUGAAAUGCGUAGAGAUGUGGAGGAACACCGAUGGCGAAGGCAGCCCCCUGGGCCGAUACUGACGCUCAUGCACGAAAGCGUGGGUAGUAAACAGG